GAAAUGCGAUAAUUAAUGUGAAUUGCAGAAUUCAGUGAAUCAUCGAGUCUUUGAACGCACAUUGCGCCCCCUGGUAUUCCGGGGGGCAUGCCUGUCCGAGCGUCAUUGCUGCCCUCAAGCACGGCUUGUGUGUUGGGCUUCCGUCCCUGGCAACGGGGACGGGCCCAAAAGGCAGUGGCGGCACCAUGUCUGGUCCUCGAGCGCAUGGGGCUUUGUCACCCGCUCCCGUAGGUCCAGCUGGCAGCUAGCCUCGCAACCAAUCUUUUUAACCAGGUUGACCUCGGAUCAGGUAGGGAUACCCGCUGAACUUAAGC
rnacentral:misc_RNA from 1 species